CCAAUAGCGUAUAUUAAAGUUGUUGCAGUUAAAAAGCUCGUAGUUGAAUUUCGGAAUCAAUUUGUUGGUCGUGCCUCGGUACGUACUGGUAUUAUUGGUUUCUACCUUCUGAAGAACCUUGAUGUCAUUAAUUUGGUGUCUUGGGGAAUCAGGACUGUUACUUUGAAAAAAUUAGAGUGUUUAAAGCAAGCAUACGCUUGAAUACAUUAGCAUGGAAUAAUGAAAUAGGACGUUUGAUUCUAUUUUGUUGGUUUCUAGGAUCGACGUAAUGAUUAAUAGGGAUAGUUGGGGGCAUUAGUAUUCAAUUGUCAGAGGUGAAAUUCUUGGAUUUAUUGAAGACUAACUACUGCGAAAGCAUUUGCCAAGGAUGUUUUCAUUAAUCAAGAACGAAAGUUAGGGGAUCGAAGACGAUCAGAUACCGUCGUAGUCUUAACCAUAAACUAUGCCGACUAGGGAUCGGAUGAUGUUAAUUUUUUAAUGACUCAUUCGGCGCCUUACGGGAAACCAAAGUGUUUGGUU
rnacentral:misc_RNA from 1 species